rnacentral:lncRNA from 1 species
GACAGUGUUACAAGUAGUACAGGCGGUGGGGAUGAAUACAGCAAGGUCUGAGCUCACGAUUGAGAUGGUGUUUCCCAGCAGGAUCCUUCACUAUUCACUCUGCUGAGCUGCUGCUUGUGACUGCAUAAUCAUGCAGUGAAACGUGCGCAAGGUGGACAACUGGAAUGAUCUCUGUUUGUCUUUCUCACUGCCCUGCUGCUACGGCCGAGACCCUACAAGCGAACCCCCCAGGAGCUUAAGAGAAACUGGGUCAUUAACUCUGCAGAGAAGAAAAGACUUUUUGUGAGAUUAUAAUGAGGCGCAGAGCAGCUGAAGACUACAAUGGACCAUAAAUAGUUACAACCAGUGUUGGUUUCUCCAACGGUGAACAAGAGCUGGAUAAAACUUCCAUGAACUAAGCAAGUAAAUAAAUAGCAUCACAUUAGCAGAUACAGUGUCAGUUCUGCGAUUCAACGCCUAGAGUUUGUAAAACAGUUCAUUAAAAGGAGACCGCAUCACAGCCACUUCCAAAUCUGUUCACCGGCCUCCGCCUAUCGCAGUGCAGAGAGAAAGCAAUAAAGGAGUACAAAACUGAAGUUCCAAACAUUCCAGCACCCUACAAAAUCUAAACAGAAACUACAGGUUUUAAGCUUCAGGGGAGAAGGUGUCCAUAGCUCCAGAUCACUCCAUGCACUCAAUCAAAUGAACGAGACAUCUUGGCUUGCUGACAGACAAAUUGGAUGCAACUAGAACACUAGUUUGCACAACCAGCAUUUUUCUCUAGAGAUGAUGAGCUUGCAGCUGAACAUGCAGAUAGCACCUGAAAAAACGAACGUCGUCUAUUUUCAGAUGCACACGCAAGACGAAAGGUCAACAAAGUGAUCUGGUUGGAUACAAAUAAAUUUUAUGCUGAAAGAGAAUUUCAACUGCACUGCUUAAGAUUUGUGUACCAGAAACAUGGAUCUUACUCCUAAAAUUAUUAGGGAGUCUUGAUUACAAAAAAAGAAGUCCUUACUGCCAUUGGUUCUCUUCAUCCAGCAAAGCUGGUAUGCUACUGAAGUUUUUGAAAGAAUAGCAGUAUAGCUAACCUGAAAUUGUUAUGGCUCAACCGCUCAAGUGAAGAAUCAUCUGAACUAAUCAAAUGUAUAAUUAUGAUGAGAGUUCACACAUACUGCGGAUUUAAUUUAGGUACAUGGGACAUAUACUUGAGAACUAUUGCUCAAAUAUCUUUGGCCUCAGACUGAGCCAUGACAGGUUUCUACUUUGAUUUCUGUUAGUGGAAUAGGAAACACACAAGAAUCAAUAUGGGAAGGCUCCCAUAUACUAGAUAUAACAUUAUUCAACCUUAAUCAGGAAGAGCACGGAUAUUCUAAACCUUUUCUUUCACUGCCCCUACAGAGUAAAAUCAAUGACUCACAAUAUCAAUAAAGAAGUACCUCUGGUCUACAGAGUAACACCUAUUUUUUGCAGGAAGUAAUAAUAUGCUAUAACCAUUAAAGAAACACAACAAUAUACUAUCACAGCAGAAAGAACAAAAAUUCUUUGGAUUAUGAACCUCUAGUGAGACAACAAAUCUACACGUAGACCAGAAGGUAAAGGAGUGUAUCUAUACAGGAUUGACAGUGUUACAAGAAAAGGGGGUGGUUAACCCAGAAAACAGGGGCACAUGAGGUGGGGAUGAAUACAGCAAAUGUGUGAGCAGGAUCCUUCACUAUUCACUCUGCUCACAGCCCUGCUGUGCUGUGGUCGAGACCCUGGACGUCAACCCCACAUCACCCUAUGGUUGCAACCAAACAUUUGAUGACUAACACUGUCAGCAAGCUCCUCCCUGGCUUUCUCAGCACAUUCUCUUGUAGUGUAGGUCAAAAAGCAAUGGAGGCCCGAUCCCUCGAAUACUGCUCAGUUAUUCAAGCAUCAAGGCAACCAAUCAGUCACCUGCCUUGCUCAGGAGCUUAAGAGAACUGGGUGAUUAACUCUGCAGACAAAAAAAAUGCUUCUUGUGAGAUUAUAGUCAAGUGCAGAGCAGAUGAAGACCACCAAAUGGACCAGAAAUAGUUGCAUCUAGUGUUGGUUUCUCCAUUGGAAAAACAAAAGCUUGCUAAAACUUAAUCGAACAAAACACACAAAUAAAUAUCAUCAGAUUAGCAGAUACAAUGCCAAUUAAGUGAUUAAACGCCUAGAGUUUGUAAACCAGUUAGACUAACAAUAUGAAAAUAUCUAUUGUUUCUUUAACUAAUGAUUUGGCUCGCCAAGUCGUAUCACUUGAAAGGCUACAAAAAUAAACCAAAGACCAAACCAGAAAUCUUGCAAAAAAAUACUCACAUUUGAAGAUCCGCACAGGUUUGCAUGUGGUAUCAAAUUCACCAAGUGUCGAACAGCAUGAGAAAUAUCAAAAUGAAACAAAUUCUCCAGAACAUGUAAAAUAAAAAGAGUUCUCCAAACAAUAAGCAAGAAAAUAAACGAAUUGAACUCCUCAGAUGUCCCUUCUGUUCCACAAAAUGUGCAGCAUCCAUGGACGUGCUUUCAGGAAUUGGAACGAUAUACAAGGCGAAAUAAGUCAUCACUGGAGUAUCCCACAGCUGAAGGAAGCAGACUUGACACAUUGCACCAUGUCAAACCAGAAAUCUUAAAAGGAACCAUUUGAAGUUAUACACAUGUUCUCCUACGAUAUCAAAUUCAACCAACCAUCGGCAGUGUGAUAGUUUGGAAAUCGAACAACUCAAUGAAGAACAGUGAAACAAAAAGAGUUGGCCAAACAUUAAGAGAGAAAAGAAACAAAUUGAACUCCUCAGAUGUCCCUUCUGCUCCACAAAAUGUGCAGCAUCCCAUGGAUGUGCUUUCAGGAAUUGGAACGAUAUACAACGCGAGAUAAGUCAUCACUGGAGUAUCCCACGUGCACACCUAAGGAAGCAGAUUUGGUACAUUGCACCAUUUCAAACCAUAAAUCAAGGAACCAUUUGAAGUUAUAUACAUGUUAACUUAUAGCAUCAAAUUCAACCGACUUAUGAGAACAUGAAAAUAGUACGGAAACCGAACAAACUCAAUGAAGAACACGGAAAUAAAAAGAGUUGUUCAAACAUUUAGCAAGAAAGAAACAAAUUAAACUCCUCAGAUGUCCCUUCUGCUCCACAAAAUGUGCAGCAUCCUGUGGAUGUGCUUUCAGAAAUUGGAACGAUAUACAAGGCGAAACAAGUCAUCAUUGGAGUGUUUGACACCUUAACUGAGCAGAGUCGAUAUAUUGCAUCAUUCGAAAGCAGAAAUCUUGAAAAAAGGAACCGUUUGAAGUUAUACAUGUUCACUUACGGUAUGAAAGCCAACCAGCUGUGGGCAAAGUGAAAAUGAAAAUAGUUCCUGAAUCAAACAAGGCUCAGUGAAGAACAGUGAAAUAAAAAUGGUUCUCCACAAAUUGUGCAAGAAUAAAACGGAUUAAACUCCUCAGAUGCCCGUUCUACUUCACUGAACAAAAACAAAUAAAUAAAUAGCAUCACAUUCGCAGAUACAAUGUCAGUUCUGUGAUUCAACGCCUAGAGUUUAUAAACCAGUCAGACUAACAAUCUCAAAAUAUCUAUUGUUUCUGUAACUCCAAAUUUGGUUUGCCGAGUCGUAUUGCUCGUGAAUGUUUUGAUGUUCCACACAAAGUUGCAACAACACCCAAAAGGAAACGGAAGGCCAAACCAGAAAGCUCGACAAAAAAUACUCAUAUGUGAUGCUCCACAUGUUUGCACGUGCUGCCAGUUUCAACCAAGUGUCAAACAGCAUGAAAAGAUUAAUGAAAACAAAUUAUCCAACAACACUAAAAAUAGAAAGAUUUGUCCAUUAAGCAAUAGAAGAAGCAAAUUGAACUCCUCAGGUGUCCCUUCUGCUCCACAUAAUGUGCAGCAUCCGGUGGAUGUGCUUUCAGGAAUUAGAACGAUAUAUGAGGUGAAGUAAGUCAUCACUGGAGUAACCCCACACAUAAAGGAAGCAGAUUUGAUACAUUGCACCAUUUUAUACCAGAAACUUAGAAGGAAUCAUUUGAUGUUAUACACAUGGUCACGUAUGGAUCAAAUUCAAGCAACGUUCAGCAGCAUGAAAAUAGUUUGGCAAUCCAACAACUCAAUGAAGAAAACUGAAAUAAAAAAAGUUCUUCCAGCAUUUAACUCCUCAGAUGUCCCUUCUGCUCCACAUAAUGCGCAACAUCUCUUAGAUGCGCUUUCAGGAAUUGGAACGAUAUAUGAGGCAAAACAAGUCAUCACAGGAGCAUCCUACGCCUCAAGGAAGCAAAUUUGUUACAACCUCCAUCCGUGGAUACACUCAUUUCAGCGACAGUUAAUUCUGGACGGAGGGAAUACAUUGCAACAUUUGAAACCAGAAAUCAAGAAAAAGAAUCAUUUCAAGUUGUAGACAUCUUCACUUAUGGUAUAGGAGUAUCAUAUAAGACCAACCGUCGGCAGCAUGAAAAUAGUAUGACAACCGGACAACUCAACAAAGAACACUGAAAUAAAAAGAGUUGUUGACACAUUGAGCCGAAUAAAAAUGAAUUAAACUGCUCAGACGUCCCUUCUGCUCCACAUAAUGUGCAGCAUCCCAUGGAUGUGCUUUCAGGGAUUGGAACGAUAUGCCAGGUGAAACAAGUCAUCACUGGUAUAUCCCACACAACAAGGAAGCAAAUUUAGGACACUGCACUGUUUUCGACUCUAACUAGAAACAUUGACAAAAGUUCAAGAAUCAAUUAAAAAAAAGGUCUCAACAUAGAACACUGAAAUAAAACACAUUAAACUCGUCAAAUGUCCCUUCUGCUCCAAAAAGUGUGCAGCACCCCAUGUAUUGGAUGCGCUUCCAGGAAUUGGAACGAUAUAGGAGGCGAAAUAAGUCAUCACUGGAGCAUCUCACACAACAAGGAAGCAAUUCAGCGCGAUUCAGUAGAAGAAAUAGGUCAUAUUUGAAGUUAUCGAAUUGAACCAGGUGUCAACAGCAAUUAACAGUUUUGAGAAUGAAACGAAGAUCUCAAGGAACGCCACUGAAGUAAGAAGUGCACCAAGCAUUAACAAAGGAAGUGGACUCCUCAGAUGUCUCUUGAGCUCCACACAGCGUGCAGCAUCCCGUUCCCAUUGGAUGGGACGCGGCACGCUUUCAGGAAUUGGAACGACAUAGUACAAAAUCGGUCAUCACUGGAGUAUAUAUCAGCUUAGCUUAAUUAGGAAGCAGAUUCGGUGCAGCGCGCUAUGCAUCUACCAACCAACAUUGGGGAAACAACCUGAACCCCGGAGGCUCCCUGACCUGCUGAACCCUAUACGCGCGAAUCUCAGAGGUUGAACUAGCAGCAGCUAGUAGCACGGGGAUCUCUAGGAGCCUCGGAGCGCAACAUGGACAGUGAGAAGAAGCGACGCAUCUAGUCUAGAUCCUAGACGAGGGUUACUUAGAGCUUAUGCGAGUGAAGCGGGAGGGAAGGUGCGGUACCAUUCGGGGCGUAGAGGUUCUGCCACCCGGCCGGGGGGGCGGCCCUGCGCGUCGCCGUCGCGCCGUGUCGCCGCCCCGCCCCGCCCGCCGCCGGCACGGACGGGAGCCGCGG